AGUGAACGCUGGCGGUAGGCCUAACACAUGCAAGUCGAACGGCAGCACAGUAAGAGCUUGCUCUUACGGGUGGCGAAUGGCGGACGAGUGAGGAAUACAUCGGAAUCUACUUUUUCGUGGGGGAUAACGUAGGGAAACUUACGCUAAUACCGCAUACGACCUACGGGUGAAAGCAGGGGAUCUUCGGACCUUGCGCGAUUGAAUGAGCCGAUGUCGGAUUAGCUAGUUGGCGGGGUAAAGGCCCACCAAGGCGACGAUCCGUAGCUGGUCUGAGAGGAUGAUCAGCCACACUGGAACUGAGACACGGUCCAGACUCCUACGGGAGGCAGCAGUGGGGAAUAUUGGACAAUGGGCGCAAGCCUGAUCCAGCCAUACCGCGUGGGUGAAGAAGGCCUUCGGGUUGUAAAGCCCUUUUGUUGGGAAAGAAAAGCAGCAGGUUAAUACCCCGCUGUUCUGACGGUACCCAAAGAAUAAGCACCGGCUAACUUCGUG
rnacentral:rRNA from 1 species